UACGUAGGGUCCGAGCGUUGUCCGGAAUUACUGGGCGUAAAGAGCUCGUAGGUGGUUUGUCGCGUUGUCCGUGAAAACUCACAGCUCAACUGUGGGCGUGCGGGCGAUACGGGCAGGCUAGAGUUCGGUAGGGGAGACUGGAAUUCCUGGUGUAGCGGUGAAAUGCGUAGAGCUCGGGAAGAACAGCGGUGGCGAAAGCGCUCUACUGGACUGCAACUGACACUCAGGGACGAAAGCUAGGGGAGCGAAUGGG
rnacentral:rRNA from 1 species